GAAGAAAUGACUGAGUGGCUAAAAGUAAUAGAUUGUAAAUCUAUAGGAAUUUUCCUACCGUAGGUUCGAAUCCUACUUUCUUCU
rnacentral:tRNA from 1 species